GAUGAACGCUGGCGGCGUGCCUAAUACAUGCGAGUCGAGCGAACAGACGAGGAGCUUGCUCCUCUGACGUUAGCGGCGGACGGGUGAGUAACACGUGGAUAACUUACCUAUAAGACUGGGAUAACUUCGGGAAACCGGAGCUAAUACCGGAUAAUAUAUUGAACCGCAUGGUUCAAUAGUGAAAGACGGUUUUGCUGUCACUUAUAGAUGGAUCCGCGCCGCAUUAGCUAGUUGGUAAGGUAACGGCUUACCAAGGCAACGAUGCGUAGCCGACCUGAGAGGGUGAUCGGCCACACUAGAACUGAGACACGGUCCAGACUCCUACGGGAGGCAGCAGUAGGGAAUCUUCCGCAAUGGGCGAAAGCUUGACGGAUCAACGCCGCGUGAGUGAUGAAGGUCUUCGGAUCGUAAAACUCUGUUAUUAGGGAAGAACAAAUGUGUAAGUAACUAUGCACGUCUUGACGGUACCUAAUCAGAAAGCCACGGCUAACUACGUG
rnacentral:rRNA from 1 species